GGGUCUGUAGCUCAGUUGGUUAGAGCGCACUCCUGAUAAGGGUGAGGUCGAUGGUUCAAAUCCACCCAGACCCACCA
rnacentral:tRNA from 1 species